ACCGGGAAAAGCACAGAGCGAGCCUCUCGAUUGCGGAGGCGCCAUCUUGAAUCCUCUACUUCCCGAAACCCUAAGCCUAACCGGAUCAUUAGCGCUCUGGUAAAAAAAGACAGGAGGAAGCGAAGAAGAAGAAGAAGCACUUUGAAUUGCGUACUUGCGUUGCUUGAGUUCCCUUUUUUCCUUCACGAUUGGCGCUGCCGAGGGAGCACUUCCUUCUUGCUCCUGUUGGCACGGAAGCUUCUGGUGCAGUAAGCAGUUCAUUUAAAAGAGUGAAGAUAAAGGCAAUCUUCAAGUCGAAGCCCCGAACUCCGGCGGAGAUCCUCGUGUUUGCCUAACUACAUUCCCAGAUGAAGGAGGCGAAGUGGGAAGAAAAGAUGGCAGAUUUAAGUAAGCAUAUCAAGGAACUGAAGUCCAUUUUGUAUGGAAAUAGUGAAUCAGAACCAGGUGCUGAAGCUUGUGCUCAACUGACUCUAAGAGAUCUUCAAAGAUAAUACUCUGCCCUUGUUAAUUCUUUGCCUUCCAAAACUCAAUUUGGAGGUAUGAGAACAUGAAGAUAGCUUUACAUUAUGGUGCAAUCCUGAGGGAGUGUGUACGCCAUCAGAGUGUUGCAAGGUAUGCACCACAGAAUAUACAUUCAUGUUCACUCAGUUCGGUUUUUUUUUUUUUUUGUGGAACACAGAUACUAACAAGGUAGUGGCAUGAGUGACAUUAUUGUGACACUCUGUAGUCUUUUCUCUAUUCUGUGACUGGUGAUAAGCUUGAGAAACAGAAAAUAAUUUUUUUUUUCAGGUUUAUGUUUAAAUUAUAAGCAGAUGCGGGUUUUUAAUUUUGUUAAUUAUUUGGUCAGCUAAAAGGCAGCGUCUUUGUUUUUGGAUUCUCUCUGCAGAUUAUGACGUGAUUGAUGGGAAUUUAAUAUAAACAUCAGAUAAGAGUAGCAUAAAGUUGUAAACAGUACUGAUGAUCUGUUUGUCAGGUGGUGUUUUUUGUCAACAUAGCAUUUCUGCAGGAUAAAGUCGUAUGGCUUAAUGAGUUAACGUACUAUUUAGUGGCUCUGAGGGCACCAUUUCUUUAGACAAUUCAUUUAGACCAUAGGAUUGCUGAUAAACGUGAAUAUAGAAAAGACCAGACAGAUCUUAUGUGUUGUGGAUAUUGCAACAAAUUUAGCAGUUUACUUGAACUUUCAUUUGAGGUUAGCUCUUUGUUGAUUCAUUUUUGCUUUUCAAAGAGCUCAUAGACAUUCUACUGCUUCAUUAACAGUUAAGAGUUUGAUUCUCUAAGUGAUGAAUGCUCGUCUAUUUUCUUGUUUAUCAAGAGUAGCCGCAUAGACAGGUGAAUGUGCUGCCUGAUGGACCCUGGCAACUCAUGGGGAUAUUGAGAGAUUUUCUUUUCUUGCCCCGUUGAUGUGCUAUGACAUGGCUACUAGCAUGGAUUCGCCAAACAUUAGAAUGUGAUUUACCGCCAAAAUGAUGCAAAGUAGUCACAGCUAUUAUUCAGUACUUCCUGGGGCUGGAAACUUUGCUUCCCUGCACAUGUACUAAUGUUAUUUUGUUUUCAGUUGUGGGGCAUUCUGAUAUCCUUUUAAAUGAUGAUUCUGGACCUUAUGGAAGUCCAUGG